AGGACAAGAGGAUGAUGAUGGGGUCAGGCUGCAGUCUGGCUCUCUGGAGGCAGUGCUCACAAAAAUGAACGUACAGGAAGCAGCUCCAUUUCUUGGGGCCCCUUACACAGAUCAUGGUCUGGGCCCCCAGGGCAUGACCAUGAGUAUGCCUACAAAGCCCAUCCAUAAGCCUUAUGCCUACAGAUCCACCCAUGAGUUUGCUCACAGGGAGCAGAGUGCAUGUGUGUAGGGGA